rnacentral:rRNA from 1 species
AUGAACGCUAGCUACAGGCUUAACACAUGCAAGUCGAGGGGCAGCAUGCUGAUAGCUUGCUAUCAGUGAUGGCGACCGGCGCACGGGUGAGUAACGCGUAUCCAACCUGCCUGUCACUCAGGAAUAGCCCGGUGAAAACCGGAUUAAGUCCUGAUGAUAUCAUUAGAGGGCAUCUGACGAUGAUUAAAGGUACGGUGACGGAUGGGGAUGCGUCUGAUUAGCUUGUUGGCGGGUAACGGCCCACCAAGGCGACGAUCAGUAGGGGUUCUGAGAGGAAGGUCCCCCACAUUGGAACUGAGACACGGGUCCAAACUCCUACGGGAGGCAGCAGUGAGGAAUAUUGGUCAAUGGGCGAGAGCCUGAACCAGCCAAGUAGCGUGCAGGAAGACGGCCCUAUGGGUUGUAAACUGCUUUUAUAGGGGAAUAAAGUGAGCCACGUGUGGUUUUUUGCAUGUACCCUAUGAAUAAGGACCGGCUAAUUCCGUG